ACCUUAAUAGCUUAUAAUCAAGAGCACAGCACUGAAGAUGCUGGGGAGGCGAACGUCUACGCCUUAAGGUA
rnacentral:tRNA from 1 species